rnacentral:tRNA from 1 species
GCACAGGUGCGUGAGCCCGGCCGAAACGGACCGGCUGUAACCCGGUUUCCCCGAGUGGGACGCGGAGGUUCAAAUCCUUCCCUGUGCACCA